CAUAAGAAAAUUUUUGCGAUUGAUUGUUUCUUGUUUAUUUGUUUUGUAUAAUUUUGUUAAAUUAAUAUCAAUUUAUUUUUCAUCUGUGACUAAUCAAUAAUUGAAUAAUCUGAGAACCCGAUGAUUGUAUUGAGAAGUAACACCUCCAUCAACUAUUUUCAUUUCAAACCAGUUAAUUCAAGUACAAGAAGACUACUGAGCUUCUUGACUGUUGAAAGCAAACACUUUCAUGAAAUGUCUUCCAUAUUAAAUACUUAUCCAAAAAAUGGUUGAUUAAAUAACUCAUUGAAGUUAAAUUUCUAUUUCCCCUGUCAAUGAUGCUCAAUACAUGUCGUUUCAAUCACACAUACAUGUAAUCUUCAAAUGGAGGGUUUCCCGUUGGAUGUCGAUCGUUAGCAUCUCUUAAUGUGAUAAACUGGUAACAUGCAACAGUCAAACUAUACAAAAUGGUCACCAUUCUGGAGUCACUAAUUUUAUUAAACUGUUAAUCAACUGAUGGAACCUUUUCAUUCUGGUAAAUAACUAUUCUUAUCCUGAUGCUUCCCAAGAUACUACCGUUUAACAACAAACAAAGCCUCAAGGAAUUCCUGAAUUGCUGAUUCUCAUAUUUCAAAUGUGUUGUUUAUAACCGUAAACAAUUAUAAAUCAUCUCAUAUUUUCUGACUUUGAUGAAAAUAAUGCAUCUUUAUGGUUAACUUUAUGCAAAACUAUUUAGAUAUUGAUUGAUGAUGGUUAAAUUGAUUUAUAUUUAAUAACCUUGAUGGUGAUGACAAACACGAUGAUGGAGAUGAUGGUGAACAUUCUUGAAGUUCUCUUUAAUCAUCUGAUACUCGAUUCAUAAACAAUCUGUCUAAAUGCAGCCGAGAUGAUCAAGUAAUGAAGAUUAAUUUUUGACACUUUGCCAAUGGGACAGCCAUCAUUUCCCAACACUUUCAAUGGAAAUAACCAGUUAACCAGAUUACCACAGAAUCCGAGGCGAUUAAAUGGAGCUCAAGGAACAGGCAAAAUGUUUAAAACAGAUUAACAUAAAAAACCAGAAUUAAACCCACCUAUAACUGUAGUUAAUGUAAUUGAUCAAAUUCAUCUGAUUCUUGGCCAUAAAAUCGGUUAAAGUUAACUUUAAUCGUUAAACUCUAAUGAUUUCAAAGAUAAGAGUAAAAUGAUGGAUAUGCUGCCUAAAUAUCAAAUGAUGAUCCCAUUUUGUUGGCCAACAAUCACAUACAUCAAUUCAAAUUUCAACCCUAAAGAGAUAAAGAUUUUCAAGAAUCAACCCUGAAGAGCCAUUGUUGUCAUCAUUACCAUUUUGUGCAUAAUGAUGGAUAUUUUUCAAGGAAGUCUCCCGAUUACUGAACCAUAAUGAUUAUAAAUUUUUUCAUAAACAAAAAAAAAGUGUUAAUGCACAUGAAGAUCAAAGUUCUGGUUAGAUGAGUUGAAUUCAGCAGAGCAAGGGAAAGAGUCAAACAGGAAACAAGUUUUGUACGUUAAGAAGCUUUUUGUUUAAAAAGCAAAUAUAACAAUUUAACUCUUUUUCACCAUUAUCUAUUCAAAAUUCAUUCCAUCCUGAUAAUAGUAACAUGGUAACAUGAAAUGUUAUCAUUUUACAUUAGAGCCAACAACUUGAAUCGACUUUCAAUUUUAUCCCAAUCAUUGUAUAAUUGCGACUCUCAAAUCAGCAAAUGUUGUUUAAAUUAUCCUGAUUAACUAUUGGUUUUAGAUGAGAACAAGCUGAAUCAAUCUCUAGAUUUAUCACAUUUAAUAGAGAUGAACAGUUAAUGCAAGGGAAAAAAGUCUAGGAUUUAGAGGUUGAUUCACUUUCCAACCAAAUUGCAGUGCAUUAAGCUUAAAAAGGUUCAACAUUAAUCCCAAAUGAACAAUCAACAUUAGACUAACUUAUAAGGGUAACAUAAAGAUAGCUCAAUAAAACAAUCACUGAUAUUAAAUUAACCAAACAACAUAAGAGGUGAAAGUGUAAAUCAGUAAAAUCAUUAAAUCAAGAUGGUCAUGAAAAUGAAUGAAGCAAAAAAAAGAGCAAAACUGUAACAUUAAACCCAAAAAGAGUUGCGGUUAUAUGGACAAUAAAAUUUACCAUUUGAAAAUAAGGAAAAAAAACCUGAAUAAUCACAUUGAAAUGUCAACAAAAUUUUACUAAACAAUAUUGAUUCCAUCACAAUUCAUUGUAAAAUUGUUGACAAAAAAGUAAACCCAAAAUGGUGAAUUUAAUGGAUUCACACAGAGAAAUGAUAAAAAUGAAUACUCUUUACCCCAACAUUUCACCAACAUUAAUCGUCGCUUUGAUUGAGAUUACAAAGCAAGUUAACAAUGAAAAAGGAAAUGUUUUAUUCUGCCUUUUCUUUGGUCAGUUGAAUCUUGAAAUGCUGAAACUCUGAAACUGAUACUGAUGAUGUAAGACAGCUAAAUAUCAAGAUCUGUCCACCUAUUUUUUUUUGGAUCUUUGAAGAGAGAGGAAAAAAAUGUUGAUCAGAUUAUUCACUUUAUGAGUUAACUCUAAUAACUUAUCUUUUCUUCCUCUUUUUUUAGGUGUAUUAUUCCUGAACAUGGGCCAUGAUUGUAUCACCAUGAAGCAUCCAUCGGUUCCCAAAUGGUUCCGCAUGACAUGACAAUGGUUCUUCACGAAUCAGGUCAAAUCCUAAUUCCUGAAUAUCUUCCUUUUUCCCUCUCACAUUUACUCUGCUCACUCAGUUCAGUUUCAUCUUGAUCAUCUCAAUGAAAUUUAUAUGUUUCCAAAAUGUCCUUACUUUAAACAGUCUUCCUGGUCUUUCGACAAGACCUAAUUUACCUCCAUUUUUUGCUUACAUUAUGUUCAACCCAACUAUUAAGUCUAAACUCAUCUUUACCAAUAUAUUUUGCUUUGUCCUCUUAACUAGUCAAUUACAUUUUGAUUAACCCAGAAACAAAUCCUAACCCAACUUUGGGUUCAUUAUUGAAAGUCAAUUAUUUCAUUGGUAACAUCAGACAAACAAAACACAAUUUAAUCAACAUCUCAUCUCAUGCAACACUUUACCUUAAAUUGUUUCAUUGGUAACCUCAUUAAUUUAGGUUCAUUUGUUAACAAACAUUUCAGUUAACCUUGGCCUUUAACCAGACAUUUUCAUUGAAGCUUUUUUCAAAUCUAAUUUUCGCAUUUUCAUAACCAAAGAAUAUGAAAUUUUGUUUUCAAAUGCUGAUUUAAUGAAUAUUAUGAAUUUGCAUCUGUCUUG